rnacentral:misc_RNA from 1 species
UCCGAUUUGUCACCGGCAGUCUCCUAUGAGUCCCCGUCUUUCACGCUGGCAACAUAGGACAGGGGUUGCGCUCGUUGCGGGACUUAACCAAACAUCUCACGACACGAGCUGACGACGGCCAUGCAGCACCUGUCACUCGGCUUCCGAAGACACUCUCUGCUUUCGCAGAAAUUCCGAGGAUGUCAAACCCUGGUAAGGUUCUUCGCUUACCUUCGAAUUAAAGAACACGCUCCACCGCUUGUGCGGGUCCCCGUCAAUUCCUUUAUGUUUUAGUCUUGCGACCGUACUCCACAGGCGGGAUGCUUAACGCGUUAGCUUCGCUACUACAAGGGUCGAUACUCGUAACAGCUAGCAUCCAUAGUUUACGGCGUGGACUAC